rnacentral:guide_RNA from 1 species
AUAUAAAAUCAUGUAACAGAAAAUUGCGUGGGCGAAUAUUUGAUAGAUGAAU